UAACCAAACUCUWAUUUCACGACGUUUCUUCUGAGUGGYACAAGCAAAUAAUUAAAACUUUUAACAACGGAUCUCUUGGUUCUGGCAUCGAUGAAGAACGCAGCGAAAUGCGAUAAGUAAUGUGAAUUGCAGAAUUCAGUGAAUCAUCGAAUCUUUGAACGCACAUUGCGCYCGCCAGCAUUCUGGCGKGCAUGCCUGUUCGAGCGUCAUUUCAACCCUCAAGCUCYGCUUGGUGUUGGGGCCCCACRGCYGAYGURGGCCCUYAAAGGUAGUGGCGGACCCUCCCGGAGCCUCCUUUGCGUAGUAACU
rnacentral:misc_RNA from 1 species